CUGACUGCUAUCGGAUGAUACUAAGCCAUGCGAGUCUUGCAGUAAUGCAAGGCAUACGGCUCAGUAACACGUAGUCAACCUACCCUAUGGACGAGAAUAAUCUCGGGAAACUGAGCAUAAUUCUUGAUAGAUCAUAAUGCCUGGAAUGGUUUAUGGUUAAAAUGAUUCGUCGCCAUAGGAUGGGACUGCGGCCUAUCAGCUUGUUGGUGAGGUAAUGGCCCACCAAGGCGAUUACAGGUACGGGCUCUGAGAGGAGAAGCCCGGAGAUGGGUACUGAGACACGGACCCAGGCCCUAUGGGGCGCAGCAGGCGAGAAAACUUUGCAAUGUGCGAAAGCACGACAAGGUUAAUCCGAGUGAUUUCUGCUAAAGAAAUCUUUUGCCAGUCAUAAAACCACUGGUGAAUAAGGGGUGGGCAAGUUCUGGUGUCAGCCGCCGCGGUAAAACCAGCACCUCAAGUGGUCAGGAUGAUUAUUGGGCCUAAAGCAUCCGUAGCCGGCUUUGUUAGUUUUCGGUUAAAUCCAUGUGCUCAACGCAUGGGCUGCCGAAAAUACUGCAUAGCUAGGGAGUGGGAGAGGUAGACGGUACUCAGUAGGAAGGGGUAAAAUCCUUUGAUCUAUUGAUGACCACCUGUGGCGAAGGCGGUCUACCAGAACACGUUCGACGGUGAGGGAUGAAAGCUGGGGGAGCAAACCGGAUUAGAUACCCGGGUAGUCCCAGCUGUAAACGAUGCAGACUCGAUGAUGCAUUGGCAUAAUAGCCAAUGCAGUGUCGCAGGGAAGCCGUUAAGUCUGCCGCCUGGGAAGUACGUACGCAAGUAUGAAACUUAAAGGAAUUGGCGGGGGAGCACCAC
rnacentral:rRNA from 1 species